GACUUUUGUCAUGUUGGAAGUCGCGAAUAUUUCUAAAGUUAAAGUAACAGAGGUCUUGUUGUUUUAUCCAUAUUACGGACAAUUUUGUAUAGUUUAAACACAAAAACAGACUCAUGUGGCUUUCUUUAGCACCCAGAUAGUGUUAUUCGAUAAGUGUACGCGUGUACAUCAAGGGAAUAUUUAUGAUAUAGUGCAAGAUGUCCCCGAACAGGUGCGAUGGGUUGCUGGCGAAGGUGGAUUUUCCCCUAUACACGCUUCAGACGCUCACGAACCGCCACGUCCUGGUGGCCGGGGGCGGCGGGCCCUCCAACACGGGCGUCGCCAAUGGAUUUGAAAUAUUCGAGUUGUCACACAAUGGCAGUAGGUUCGUGGCGGAAGAGGUGAUGCGGCACGAGACGGGGCCCAACGUGGUGAUGACGUGCUCGGUGCGCAACAUGCAGAACCGCACGUACCUCACGGCGGGCCAGGAGAGCCACUGCCAGCUGUACAAAGUGAAUAUCCGCAUGGUGGACGCUGCAGAGAUGCGGAGAGGCAGCUUCAGGGCGGAGAAUGGACUCGUGAGACGGCGGAGGCGCACCGUCUCCGAGAACGACAACAUAUCGAAAAAGGACAAUAACAGCAACACAACAGAGAAACGAAUUUCAUUUGAAAUAAGGCCUUGUGACAGUGUACAAACAGAUUUUGGAAAUGACCCCCUCCAACGCAUCGUAGUAAUAAGCAACAACGGUAAACUGAUGGCGACCGGUGGCUUCGACACCAAGGUGCGCGUGUGGAGCUUCCCCAAAAUGGAACUGCUUUACGUAUUAGAAAAACACACAAAAGAGUUGGACGACCUGGACUUCAGCCCGUGCGACAGUAAGCUGAUAAGCAUCGGUAAGGACGGGCUGGCGUGUGUGUGGAGCACGGCGCCUGCGCGGAACCACUCGCCGCUCCUCACGCUCACGUGUCAGCCACCCAGUGGCAGCAAGUACCUCUUCAAGCGGUGUAGGUUCGGUCUGAUCGAAGAAGAGAAAGGCGCGUAUCGCAUUUUCACGAUCGCGAACCCGCUGGCGCGGUCGGGCAAGGCGCAGGGCCUGCUGCAGAUGUGGGAGCCCAAGGACGGGGCGCUGCGCCGCUCGGUGGUGGUGGGCGAGUCGCUGUCGGCGCUGGCGGUGCGCGACGACGGCCGCUUCGUGGGCGUCGGCACCAUGUUCAGCGGCUCCGUCGACAUUUAUAUUGCGUUCAGUUUGCAGCGCGUGCUGCGCGUGAGGAACGCGCACAUGAUGUUCGUGACGGGGCUGGUGUUCCUACCGGUGAGGGGCUACGGGCCCGCCAUCACGUCCCGCAGCGAGGCCGCGCUGCUCUCCAUCUCCGUCGACAACCGCCUCUGCGUGCACAGCCUGCCCUACCGAAGUCAGUACCUAACGUUAUAUACCACAUAGAUACUGCCGUGAGGGGCUACGGGCCCGCCAUCACGUCCCGCAGCGAGGCCGCGCUGCUCUCCAUCUCCGUCGACAACCGCCUCUGCGUGCACAGCCUGCCCUACCGAAGUCAGUACCUAACGUUAUAUACCACAUAGAUACUGCCGUGAGGGGCUACGGGCCCGCCAUCACGUCCCGCAGCGAGGCCGCGCUGCUCUCCAUCUCCGUCGACAACCGCCUCUGCGUGCACAGCCUGCCCUACCGAAGUCAGUACCUAACGUUAUAUACCACAUAGAUACUGCCGUGAGGGGCUACGGGCCCGCCAUCACGUCCCGCAGCGAGGCCGCGCUGCUCUCCAUCUCCGUCGACAACCGCCUCUGCGUGCACAGCCUGCCCUACCGAAGUCAGUACCUAACGUUAUAUACCACAUAGAUACUGCCGUGAGGGGCUACGGGCCCGCCAUCACGUCCCGCAGCGAGGCCGCGCUGCUCUCCAUCUCCGUCGACAACCGCCUCUGCGUGCACAGCCUGCCCUACCGAAGUACCGUACCUGUCUGGGUUGCCAUCCUUCUUAUAAUUUUCGUACUGUUCUGUACCUUUACGUUAUGUUCGUACAUGGGCAUUUAACGGCCCAUAUUUAUUUAAUUAUGUAUACAAUAUAAAUAAAGUUUCCUAUGUAAGUAAUUUCGGGGAUGUUAGAUUAAUUUUAAUGUUAAUAGGCAAUUAUGGACAUGCUCAUAUACAUUGCGUAUGUGUAAUACAAUUUGAUUAAAUGAAUGCAAUGUUGCUACAUUCCAAGUUAUUUAUUACCCGGACAAAAAUGCACUACCCAUUACGUAUUACCCGGAUAAAAAAAUUAAGGCAUAACCUAUUAAAUUCGAGAUAUUGAUUUUUGCUAUGUGUGUGCACUGGGCUUAAUUACACAAGUUUCUUAAGAGACGAGAAAGUGAUGUUAAAUUCUCGUUUCAUAUCAAGUGAUCAUGCAAUAAUUUUUAAGUUACGCUGCUCCCUCAAGUAAAUCUGCGCGGUAACCAUAACUUUAAAAGCUACCUCGAGAUUAAUAAAACGCAUAGAAAAUAAAGUACAACAUAUAUCUUCAAUAUAUUAACUUUGGUAAUUUAAAAAUGUAUCAUUUGAAUAUAUAUUAUGUAAUUAAUUUUACAAUAUAUUGCCACUAAAAUUGUUGAUUCUGUGUAUCCUAAAGUACACAUUUUCAUUUGCAACCAACACUAUUAAAUUAACAAUUAAAUAAGAAAUAUUUAGUCAUUUAAAAUUGUUAAAAGGACCAAACAUUUAAAAAAAUAUUUUCGUAAAUCUUUCCAUAUUCUCACAGUAACUCGUGCGCAGUCAAUAUACGGAAUGGAUGCUUUAGGUUCACUUUCUCGGGGGAGGGUCUUAAAGCUGAAUAGAUAUUAACUAUUGCAUAAUGCAGCAUCAAACACAAGAAUUGUCUUGUAUGUUGGUUCUGCUCUGCAAGUUUUUUUUUGUAAAUUGAGACAAAGACAAAACAAUAAAUUAAUACUAUAAUAUGUUCUUGAACCUAUUUUAAUAUUUUUCGAAAAUACCUAGGUAUCAUAAAUCAUUUUUAGUUAUACUUUAAUGUACGAUACGUUAUUAUUAAGAUGUUUUUUUUUAAUUGUACAAAAUAUUUAUUGUAUUUUCAAUGCCUCAUUUUUGGAAAUUAAGUUAGUAAAAAUGCUGGUAUAUCGAAUAUAUUAUACUUUAUUUCUUA
rnacentral:misc_RNA from 1 species